GAUGCCCUUCGAGUGCUGGAGAUUAGAGGGUUGGAGGGAGGCAAGGGAAACUCCAGUAACUGGGAUCAUUCAAGGACCAAGGAUGAGGAAGUUGCUGAAUGGUGGGCUCCCCAAAAAGACCUGACCUUUGAUGUACUGCUGUGUGUGGCUGUCCUGGUGCAAAAUCGAGAUCAGCUCCUCUCAUUCCAUCAUGCCAAUGACUUCUUCCUCUUCUCCCAGAGGCUCCAGGGAAAGCUGAAACUGAACACUCUCCGGGGAGAAGAAAAGGAGCUGCCCCACCCUAAGCAUCUUCCCUGG